AGUUUCUUUAACCAUAGCUAUUUCCAGGAUUACAUACCUGCCCAAUCUUCUGCCGCCAUUUUCCCUUACAUCCAUCCCUUCCAUUUCGCCAUUUCUGAUUUAUAUGCAGUUGCUGAGAAGUAUGGGUGAUCCCUGGGGCUUGUGACUGGCAUCUGCAGUGGGGCACUGUUAUGGUAAUGAGCCCUGAACUUGUGGGGUCCCCGUUAACUCUGGGUAGUGUCAGAAUUGAUUUGAAUGCUUAAUUGGUGUUGGAGAAUUGGAGAUUUGGUUGUGUUCAGCAAACACCACACAUUUGGUGUCAGAAAUGGUAUAUGAAAAAAGACACUAGAGAUCAGAACCUUCACCUGGCUCUGGGUAAGUGUUCGCUGGUGAGAAUUGAGACCCUGGAGGAGGGAGCAUUUCCACACUGUGAGGAGAGGAGAGUGGGUUGUGUGAAACACCUGUGGACUCACUACCCAGGUUCAUAAAUGGGCAUUGGGCAUUUCUGGUAUGUCCUGAUCUUGUCU
rnacentral:lncRNA from 1 species